rnacentral:pre_miRNA from 1 species
AUAACAUUUUGACCGUCGGUCUACUGAGCAAUAUCACUCGCUCGAUGGAAGAUCUUCCCUUUGUCAU